rnacentral:rRNA from 1 species
AUUGAACGCUGGCGGCAGGCCUAACACAUGCAAGUCGAGCGAGCGGCGGACGGGUGAGUAAUGCCUGGGAAUUGCCCAGUCAAGGGGGAUAACAGUUGGAAACGACUGCUACUACCGCAUACGAUUGGCUUGCCCCAGUUGGCUUAGCUAGUUGGUGAGUUAAUGGCUCACCAAGGCGACGAUCCCUAGCUGGUCUAAGAGGAUGAUCAGCCACACUGGAACUGAGACACGGGCCAGACUCCUACGUGCGGCAGCAGUGGGGAAUAUUGCACAAUGGGGGAAACCCUGAUACAGCCAUGCCGCGGGUGUUAAGAAGGCCUUCGGGUUGUAAAGCACUUUCAGCGAGGAGGCGUUACUCUCAGAAGAAGCACCGGCUAACUCCGUGCCAGCAGCCGCGGUAAUUC